rnacentral:tRNA from 1 species
GGAGAAAUGGCCGAGUGGUCGAAGGCGCGCGCUUGGAGAGCGUGUAUACUCCAAAAGGGUAUCAGGGGUUCGAAUCCCUUUUUCUCCG